UACGUAGGUGGCAAGCGUUAUCCGGAUUUACUGGGUGUAAAGGGCGUGUAGGCGGAGCUGCAAGUCAGAUGUGAAAUCCCGGGGCUCAACCCCGGAACUGCAUUUGAAACUGUAGCCCUUGAGUAUCGGAGAGGCAGGCGGAAUUCCUAGUGUAGCGGUGAAAUGCGUAGAUAUUAGGAGGAACACCAGUGGCGAAGGCGGCCUGCUGGACGACAACUGACGCUGAGGCGCGAAAGCGUGGGGAGCAAACAGG
rnacentral:rRNA from 1 species